GACGAACGCUGGCGGCGUGCUUAACACAUGCAAGUCGAGCGGAAAGGCCACUUCGGUGGUACUCGGGCGGCGAACGGGUGAGUAACACGUGAGUAAUCUGCCCCUGGCUUUGGGAUAGCCACCGGAAACGGUGAUUAAUACCGGAUACGACCACUUCUCGCAUGGGAUGGUGGUGGAAAGUUUUUUCGGCCAGGGAUGUGCUCGCGGACUAUCAGCUUGAUGGUGAGGUAAUGGCUCACCAUGGCUUCGACGGGUAGCCGGCCUGAGAGGGUGACCGGUCACACUGGGACUGAGACACGGCCCAGACUCCUACGGGAGGCAGCAGUGGGGAAUAUUGGACAAUGGGCGGAAGCCUGAUCCAGCAACGCCGCGCGAGGGAUGACGGCCUUCGGGUUGUAAACCUCUUUCAGCAGGGACGAAGCGCAAGUGACGGUACCUGCAGAAGAAGCACCGGCCAACUACGUGCCAGCCGCCGCGGUAA
rnacentral:rRNA from 1 species